rnacentral:misc_RNA from 1 species
GAUGAAGAACGUAGCGAAAUGCGAUAAGUAAUGUGAAUUGCAGAAUUCAGUGAAUCAUCGAAUCUUUGAACGCACAUUGCGCCCCUUGGUAUUCCGAGGGGCAUGCCUGUUCGAGCGUCAUUAUAACCCUCAAGCUCAGCUUGGUGUUGGGGCCUGCUGCACUGGCAGCCCUUAAAAUCAGUGGCGGCGCCAUCUGGCUCUAAGCGUAGUAAUUCUUCUCGCUAUGGAGUCCUGGUGGAUGCUUGCCAUCAACCCCCAAUUUUUCUAUGGUUGACCUCGGAUCAGGUAGGGAUACCCGCCGAACUUAAGCAUAUCAAUAAGCGGAGGA